GACGAACGCUGGCGGCGUGCCUAAUACAUGCAAGUAGAACGCACAGUUUAUACCGUAGCUUGCUACACCAUAGACUGUGAGUUGCGAACGGGUGAGUAACGCGUAGGUAACCUGCCUGGUAGCGGGGGAUAACUAUUGGAAACGAUAGCUAAUACCGCAUAAUAUUAAUUAUUGCAUGAUAAUUAAUUGAAAGGUGCAAUUGCACCACUACCAGAUGGACCUGCGUUGUAUUAGCUAGUAGGUGAGGUAACGGCUCACCUAGGCGACGAUACAUAGCCGACCUGAGAGGGUGAUCGGCCACACUGGGACUGAGACACGGCCCAGACGCCUACGGGAGGCAGCAGGAGGGAAUCGUCGGCAAUGGACGAAAGUCUGACCGAGCAACGCCGCGUGAGUGAAGAAGGUUUUCGGAUCGUAAAGCUCUGUUGUAAGGGAAGAACGGGUGUGAGAGUGGAAAGUUCACACUGUGACGGUAUCUUACCAGAAAGGGACGGCUAACUACGUG
rnacentral:rRNA from 1 species